rnacentral:rRNA from 1 species
UUCCUCGAUCGAGUGGCGAACGGGUGAGUAACGCGUGAGGAACCUGCCUCAAAGAGGGGGACAACAGUUGGAAACGACUGCUAAUACCGCAUAAGCCCACGGGUCGGCAUCGACCAGAGGGAAAAGGAGCAAUCCGCUUUGAGAAGGCCUCGCGUCCGAUUAGCUAGUUGGUGAGGUAACGGCCCACCAAGGCAACGAUCGGUAGCCGGACUGAGAGGUUGAACGGCCACAUUGGGACUGAGACCCGGCCCAGACUCCUACGGGAGGCAGCAGUGGGGAAUAUUGCACAAUGGGGGAAACCCUGAUGCAGCGACGCCGCGUGGAGGAAGAAGGUCUUCGGAUUGUAAACUCCUGUUGUUGAGGAAGAUAAUGACGGUACUCAACAAGGAAGUGACGGCUAACUACGUGCCAGCAGCCGCGGUAAAACGUAGGUCACAAGCGUUGUCCGGAAUUACUGGGUGUAAAGGGAGCGCAGGCGGGAAGACAAGAUGGAAGUGAAAUCCAUGGGCUCAACCCAUGAACUGC